rnacentral:rRNA from 1 species
CACGUAGUUGGCGGGGUAACGGCCCACCAAGCCUACGAUCAGUAACUGGUGUGAGAGCACGACCAGUCACACGGGCACUGAGACACGGGCCCGACUCCUACGGGAGGCAGCAGUAAGGAAUAUUGGUCAAUGGACGCAAGUCUGAACCAGCCAUGCCGCGUGGAGGAUGAAGGUCCUCUGGAUUGUAAACUUCUUUUAUCUGGGAAGAAACCCACGUUUUCUAAUGUGGUUGACGGUACCAGAUGAAUAAGCACCGGCUAACUCCGUGCCAGCAGCCGCGGUAAUACGGAGGGUGCAAGCGUUAUCCGGAUUCACUGGGUUUAAAGGGUGCGUAGGCGGAUUGGUAAGUCCGUGGUGAAAUCCCCGAGCUUAACUCGGGAACUGCCGUGGAUACUAUCAGUCUUG